GUCCCACCCGACCCGUCUUGAAACACGGACCAAGGAGUCUAACAUGUGCGCAAGUCGUCGAGAAAUUAUCAAACUAAACUCGCGAGGCGCAAUGAAAGUGAAGCGGCCCCGAUGAGGGUGCAUCCGCGAGGGGUGAUCCCGUCUCGAACAGAGCGGGCGCAACCCCAGGGCGUCCGAAUGCUCGCGAGAUCUUUCCCCCUUAAAAGGGUUUGGUCGAGUCGGCCGGACGAACCCAGAGCGCACACGUUGGGACCCGAAAGAUGGUGACCUAUGCCUGGCCAGGACGAAGCCAGGGGAAACCCUGGUGGAGGUCCGCAGCGAUUCUGACGUGCAAAUCGAUCGUCGGAGUUGGGUAUAGGGGCGAAAGACUAAUCGAACCAUCUAGUAGCUGGUUCCCCCCGAAGUUUCCCUCAGGAUAGCUGGUGCUCGCAAAGAGAACAAACGGAGUUUCAUCCGGUAAAGCGAAUGAUUAGAGGCCUUGGGGUCGAAACGACCUCAACCUAUUCUCAAACUUUCAAUGGGUGAGAAGCCCGGCCUUUUUCCUUGAUUGAGGCCGCGGCAAUUGAUUUGAAUCUGAGCGCCCAGUGGNCCAUUUUUGGUAAGCAGAACUGGCGCUGUGGGAUGAACCAAACGCCCGGUUAAGGCGCCUAAACGACGCACAUUUCGGAUCCCACGAAAAGGAGUUGGUUGCUAAAGACAGCAGGACGGUGGCCAUGGAGGUCGGAAUCCGCUCAGGAGUGUGUAACAACUCACCUGCCGAAGCAACUAGCCCUUAAAAUGGGAGGCGCUAUAGCGUCGUGCCUAUACCGGGCCGUCGGUCGGCAGAGCGAAUAACGUCCGUGUCAGCUCGAAGAGAGCGACGGCGCUGAGGCCCCGACGAGUAGGGGGGUCGCGACGGUGAGCGUAGAAGGGUUGUGGGCGUGAGCCUGCCCGGAGCCGCCGUCGGUGCAGAUCUUGGUGGUAGUAGCAAAUACUCCAGAGGGAUCCUGGAGGACUGACGCGGAGAAGGGUUUCAUGUGAACAGUGGUUGGACAUGAGUCAGUCGAUCCUAAGCCGCAGGCGAAAGCCGACCUAGUGACGGGCGUGAUGUGUUGCAUCUAUCGUAUGAGUAACGGGCGUGGUUGUGGUUGAGUCGUGUGUGGGUGAUUCUUCUGUUGUGUGCGCGAAGAGAAAAUGUAAAGUUGCGGGGUCAAAGAAAACACAUGAAUAAGAAAGCUUGUGAGAAUGAUAGAAGGUUAAAGAAGUGUCUUUUUCUUUUUUGAUUUCUCUUAGCCGGUAUUUGAUUGUUUUUCUCCCGUCUCUUUUCUUUUCCUAGUACCGUUCAUCGCGUUAUGGCAUCGCAUGCUUCUUUCGCAGCGCCUUCGAAAAUAUGAAACCAUGUAUCGUAUAACGUGAGACGCCACCCAGGUUAAGGCGAAAGGGAAUCCGGUCCUGAUUCCGGAACCAGGCUGCGGCUACGUCCGCGAUAAAACGACUUAAC
rfam:Daphnia pulex DAPPTscaffold_5988_Cont16847, whole genome shotgun sequence.